rnacentral:lncRNA from 1 species
AGAAUUCUCAUAAACUACAAUAUCCUAACAUUACUCAAAACAACAAGGUUUAAUGAAUAUUCAUUAUAGUCCAAAAAUAAAAGUUCACAAUUAGACAACUUAAUCAAAAUAAAGUUUCAUUACAAAUCCAUAAUUCAUAAUUACUAAAACAAAUCCAAAAAUCCAAAAAACACAAUAAAAAAAAUGUCACACUCCACUAGGCCACUCCAGGAGCAUUUUGAAGUCCUCCCUGCCCUACCUGUAGAUCCUCAGGAGUGAUAUCUGCAUCUAAAAAGAUGUAAAAAGGAAGGGGUGAGCAUUUCCACAUUGCUCAGUAGGGUGCCUAACACCCAAGGGGUUAAGGGGAUUACUAAGUUCCAAAGAAUACAAAAAGAACAUUUCAACACAACAGAAACAUUUCAACAGUAUCAAUCAAACCACAUAGUUUAAUAUCUAAUAUUAUACACAAUUCCACACAUUCAACAAUUAAAUGAAUGCACAUGAAUGUGUGACACACAAUCAUACAAUGCACUAUUAUUCUCGGGCUUUCACCGAAGGAUACGCGUCCGCACCCAAAUACACUCCCUAUUCGGAGUCUUCCCGGGGUAAACUUUUGGGUCUUUCACCCUAGGGAUCUCUCUCCCUUCUUAAUUUGCCUCACACGGACUUUCACUUUUCAUCACUAUUUCAUUUUUUUCCAUUUCAUACACUUUUCACAAUUUUCAUAAUUUCUUCACACAACCAUGAUGCAAAUAAAUGCCACAAUUCCAAAGUUCCUCAAUAAUUUCAACAAUUUCAACAUUCCCCAAUAAUCCAAUAAAAUAAAUUUUCCACAUUAAAAUUUCCGAAAAUAUCCCAAAUAAAUAUUCAAAAAUUUGCAUAUCAAUAAACUUGAAAAUAUACCACACUUACGGACAUUUUCAACCAUUCUAAUAAUUUCUAAUAUUCGAAAUUAACUAAUUUUCCACCAUAAAAAUUCCGAAAAUAUUCCAACCAAUGCCCAAAAAUUCACAUAUCACUAGAUUUGAAAUUAAACCCUAAUUUCAUAAUUUUCCAACACUUCUAAUAAUUUUUAACAAUUCAAAACAAUUAAUUAUCAACCAAAAACAAAUUCCCGAAAUUACAAAAAUUCCAAACAAAUUCCAAAUAAUACAGGAAAAUUUCAUACAACACCCAUAUUACCUAUUUAACUCAUAAUGAUAAGAUUUACAAAUUUUUUUUAAAGGAAGACGCAUUAAAUUUAAGUUUUAGGGUUAGGUUCCCCUACCACAGAUCUAAUAAUUCAAUCGUUAAAAACACGAUCGGCCACCGUAGGAUUGUUCCUCUCGUCGAGUAGAGCACCUCCUUAAAAUUUGAGCCGAAAUGGAGGUCGUUUGGCCACCCAAAUGGUCAGUCAAAGUUCUGGCGAGAUGCAACUUCUCCACAGUGCCGUCGCUGCUCCUUUUCUCACCCAUUCUGCCACUGUUUAAUUG